rnacentral:rRNA from 1 species
GACGAACGCUGGCGGCGUGCCUAAUACAUGCAAGUCGAACGCAUUUUCUUUCACCGUAGCUUGCUACACCGAGAGAAAAUGAGUGGCGAACGGGUGAGUAAAACGUGGGUAACCUGCCCAUCAGCGGGGGAUAACACUUGGAAACAGGUGCUAAUACUGCCUAAUUCCAUUUACCGCAUGGUAGAUGGUUGAAAGGCGCUUUUGCGUCACUGGUGGAUGGACCCGCGGUGCGUUAGCUAGUUGGGGGGGUAACGGCCUAACAAGGCUGAGAUGCAUAGCCGGCCUGGGAGGGUGAUCGGGCACACUGGGACUGAGACACGGCCCAGGCUCCUUCGGGAGGGAACAGUAGGGAAUCUUUGGAAAAUGAGACAAGUCUGAACGAACAACGCCGGGGGAGUGGAGAAGGUUUUCGGAUCGGAAAACUCUGUUGUGAGAGAAGAACAAGGAUGAGAGUGGAAAGUUCAUCCCUUGACGGUAUCUAACCAGAAAGCCACGGCUAACUACGUG